CACUUUCACAAUUAAUUCGCUCCAUACGGUUAACCGAUUCGAGAUUUUCUCUCAUUUCACGUUUCUUCUCAGGAAGAAGGGGAAAAGUUAGGGUUUCGAUUUUUUUCCUAGAUUUGUUUCCUACAGCCUCCUCCGCGGUGAUCCAUUGGGUUUGAUUCUUGAAGCGGAAUUCGGAUCUUGACUAUUUCGUGGAAUUUUCGGAUACAAUUUUAUAUAUCUUUUAUGCUUCACCCAGAAGUUACUCG